UGCCAGCCGCCGCGGUAAUACGGAGGGUGCAAGCGUUGUUCGGAUUUACUGGGCGUAAAGAGCGCGUAGGCGGCUUCAUAAGUUAAGGGUGAAAUCCCGGGGCUUAACUCCGGAACUGCUCUUAAAACUGUGGAGCUAGAGACAAUCAGAGGUGGGUGGAAUUCCAGGUGUAGAGGUGAAAUUCGUAGAUAUCUGGAGGAACACCAGUGGCGAAGGCGCUGGCCUGGACGAUGACUGACGCUGAGGUGCGAAAGCAUGGGGAGCGAACAGGAUUAGAUA
rnacentral:rRNA from 1 species